rnacentral:rRNA from 1 species
GGGGAAUUUUGCGCAAUGGGCGAAAGCCUGACGCAGCAAUACCGCGUGAGUGAUGAAGGCUCUCGGGUCGUAAAGCUCUGUCAGAGGGGAAGAACCUCCUGUCAUAUAAUACAUGGCAGGCCUGACGGUACCC